GAGCUAGAAAGCCCCGAAAGGAGGGAUGGG
rnacentral:piRNA from 1 species